AGCUGGUUCUCCCCGAAAUAGCUUUAGGGCUAGCCUCAAAUAACAUUACCGCAGGUAAAGCACUGAAUGGGCUAGGGGGCGAAAGCUUACUGAACCCUAUCAAACUAAGAAUGGCGGAUAAUGAAUAUUUGGGAGUCACACUACGUGAGAUAAGUUUCGUGGUGGAAAGGGAAACAGCCCAGACCCACAGCUAAGGUCCCAAAGUACAGUUAAGUGGAAAAGGAUGUGAAGUUGCGCAGACAACCAGGAUGUUGGCUCAGAAGCAGCCACUCAUUCAAAGAGUGCGUAAUAGCUCACUGGUCGAGUGAUUUUGCGCCGAAAAUUUAACGGGGCUAAACUGUACACCGAAGCUUGGGAAUAUACCUCUGGUAUGUUGGUAGGAGAGCGUCUUAUGCGGGGUGAAGUCGUAGCGAAAGCGGCGGUGGACUGCAUAGGAGUGAGAAUGCCGGAAUGAGUAGCGAGAAUUAUGUGAGAAUCAUAAUGGCCGAAAGACUAAGGUUUUAGAAGGAAGGUUCGUCCGCUUCUAGUUAGCCGGGAGCUAAGGCGAGGCCGAAAGGCGUAGUCGAUGCACAUACGGUUGAGAUUCCGUAGCCACCUUAAAUUUAAACUAAGGGACACAUUGAAAGGGAAUAACCCAGGCGUUGGUUGACCUGGGCGUAAGGGAACGAAAAUAAGUAGUGAAGUAUUCUUGGACAGUGGCGAGAAAAGUUUAGUGUAUAUUAUUAGGGUGCCCGUACUGCAAACCGACACAGGUAGUCAGGAAGAGAAUUCUAAGGCCAUCGGGAGAAGCGUUGUUAAGGAACUCGGCAAAUUGACCCCGUAACUUCGGAAUAAGGGGUGCUCACGCGAGUGAGCCGCAGUGAAUAGGUCCAGGCAACUGUUUAUCAAAAACACAGCUCUCUGCUAAAUCGUAAGAUGACGUAUAGGGGGUGACACCUGCCCGGUGCUGGAAGGUUAAGAGGAGGAGUGCAAGCCCCGAAUCGAAGCCCCAGUAAACGGCGGCCGUAACUAUAACGGUCCUAAGGUAGCGAAAUUCCUUGUCGGGUAAGUUCCGACCCGCACGAAUGGUGUAAUGAUCUGGAUACUGUCUCAACAACGCGCCCGGCGAAAUUGUAGUACCGGUGAAGAUGCCGGUUACCCGCGGCAAGACGGAAAGACCCCAUGGAGCUUUACUGUAACUUAAUAUUGGGUCUCGGUACUUUAUGUACAGGAUAGGCGGGAGACUUGGAAACUAGCACGCCAGUGUUAGCGGAGUCAUCCUUGGGAUACCGCUCUUAAGGUAUUGAGAUUCUAACCUGCAGCCUUGAAUCAGGUUGGGGGACAUUGUUAGGUGGGCAGUUUGACUGGGGCGGUCGCCUCCAAAAGAGUAACGGAGGCGUUCAAAGGUUGGCUCAGCAUGGACGGAAACCAUGCUUUAGAGUGUAAACGCAUAAGCGAGCCUAACUGCGAGACUGACGGGUCGAGCAGUAACGA
rnacentral:rRNA from 1 species